AUGAAGGGGCAAUUGCUCACUCUGCUGGGACUUCUUUGCACCCAGGUUUGCUCUGUGAGAGGGGUGCAGGUGGAGCAGAGCCCUCCAGUCCUGAGCCUCCAGGAGGGAGACAGCUACAUAUUGAGGUGCAAUUUUUCAACUUCUGUGAGGAAUGUGCAGUGGCUUCAUCAGAAUCCUAAGGGACGCCUCAUCAGCCUGUUUUACAUUCCUUCAGGGACAAAGCAGAAUGGAAGAUUAAACGCCACGACGGUAGCUAAAGAACGUCUCAGCUUACUGCACAUUUCCUCUUCCCAGACCACAGAUUCAGCCAUUUAUUUCUGUGCUGUGGAGCCACAGUGCUUCCCCAGCACCUGCAGCCUGUACGCAAACUCUCAGCUGGGCCAUCCCCUCCCUCGGGUAUGGCCAUGCCACAGCUGCUUUGCACAGCUUACUGUUUGCUUUCCAUUUAGUGAGGUUUUUACAGCAGAUACCAUUAUUGGGACAUUUGGUCUUUAUCUUCUCUUUUCAUUUUACACCUCACCUUACAUUUCCAACUUGUAA